rnacentral:rRNA from 1 species
CAUCACUACGCUAGAUGCAUAUCAAUAAGCGGAGGAAAAGAAACUAACAAGGAUUCCCUUAGUAACGGCGAGUGAAGCGGGAAGAGCUCAAAUUUGAAAUCUUCAAGGUUUUUACCUUGACGAAUUGUAGUUUAAAGAAGUGUUUUCUGUUGAAGUUUUGGUAAAAGUUCUUUGGAAUAGGACAUCAUAGAGGGUGAGAAUCCCGUAUUUGACCAUUAUUUUCAGCUGUGUGAUACACUUUCAAAGAGUCGGAUUGUUUGGGAAUGCAGUCCAAAAUGGGUGGUAAAUUUCAUCUAAAGCUAAAUAUUGGCGAGAGACCGAUAGCGAACAAGUACCGUGAGGGAAAGAUGAAAAGAACUUUGAAAAGAGAGUUAAACAGUACGUGAAAUUGUCAAAAGGGAAGCGUUUGACACCAGUGUUGUUUUCUCGAAAAUCAAUUAAAAAAAGUUGGAUUUUGUGUUGUAUUGACCUUAACAGCUUUCUGCACUCUUUUCCUGCUUUUUUUAAUGCACUAUUCGUUUAACAAGUCAACAUCGGUUUCUUUUGUUGUAAAAGGGUCAUUGGAAGGUGGCUUUCUUUUCGGAGAAAGUGUUUAUAGCCUUUGAUCUCUGCAAUCGGAGAGACUGAGGUCUGCAGCGUAGAUCCUUCGGGGUUAGAUACAUUUGUGCUAAGUUAUAACUUUUCAUAGACAACUUGUUGACUAUGUUUUAGUCAUGUAGCUUACUCGCUUAUGCUAUUUUACCUACGCUUAGGAUGUUGAGUAGCGACAUACGCACC